rnacentral:rRNA from 1 species
CGAGGAAUCUUGCGCAAUGGGGGAAACCCUGACGCAGCAACGCCGCGUGAGUGAGGAAGGCCUUCGGGUCGUAAAGCUCUGUCAGAUGGGAAGAAAUGGGUGGGGGCUAAUAUCGUCCAUCCUUGACGGUACCAUCAGAGGAAGCACCGGCUAACUCCGUGCCAGCAGCCGCGGUAAUACGGGGGGUGCAAGCGUUGUUCGGAAUCAUUGGGCGUAAAGCGCGCGCAGGCGGCUUGGUCAGUCAGAUGUGAAAGCCCUGGGCUUAACCCAGGAAGUGCAUUUGAUACUGCCUCGCUAGAGUACGGGAGAGGAAAGUGGAAUUCCUGGUGUAGAGGUGAAAUUCGUAGAUAUCAGGAGGAACACCGGUGGCGAAGGCGACUUUCUGGCCCGAUACUGACGCUCAGGCGCGAAAGCGUGGGGAGCAAACAGG